UUGCACAUGGGUUAGUCGAUCCU
rnacentral:sRNA from 1 species